rnacentral:rRNA from 1 species
UCCCUAUGGGGUGCAGCAGGCGCGAAAACUUUACAAUGCGGGAAACCGUGAUAAGGGGACACCGAGUGCCAGCAUCAUAUGCUGGCUGUCCAGGUGUGUAAAAUACACCUGUUAGCAAGGGCCGGGCAAGACCGGUGUCAGCCGCCGCGGUAACACCGGCGGCCCGAGUGGUGAUCGUGAUUAUUGGGUCUAAAGGGUCCGUAGCCGGUUUGGUCAGUCCUCCGGGAAAUCUGACAGCUCAACUGUUAGGCUUUCGGGGGAUACUGCCAGACUUGGAACCGGGAGAGGUAAGAGGUACUACAGGGGUAGGAGUGAAAUCUUGUAAUCCCUGUGGGACCACCUGUGGCGAAGGCGUCUUACCAGAACGGGUUCGACGGUGAGGGACGAAAGCUGGGGGCACGAACCGGAUUAGAUACCCGGGUAGUCCCAGCCGUAAACGAUGCUCGCUAGGUGUCAGGCAUGGCGCGACCGUGUCUGGUGCCGCAGGGAAGCCGUGAAGCGAGCCACCUGGGAAGUACGGCCGCAAGGCUGAAACUUAAAGGAAUUGGCGGGGGAGCACAACAACGGGUGGAGCCUGCGGUUUAAUUGGAGUCAACGCCGGGA